rnacentral:rRNA from 1 species
UGGUUGACCUCGAAUCAGGUAGGACUACCCGCUGAACUUAA